AUUGAACGCUGGCGGCAUGCCUUACACAUGCAAGUCGAACGGCAGCACGGGUGCUUGCACCUGGUGGCGAGUGGCGAACGGGUGAGUAAUACAUCGGAACAUGUCCUGUAGUGGGGGAUAGCCCGGCGAAAGCCGGAUUAAUACCGCAUACGAUCUACGGAUGAAAGCGGGGGACCUUCGGGCCUCGCGCUAUGGGGUUGGCCGAUGGCUGAUUAGCUAGUUGGUGGGGUAAAGGCCUACCAAGGCGACGAUCAGUAGCUGGUCUGAGAGGACGACCAGCCACACUGGGACUGAGACACGGCCCAGACUCCUACGGGAGGCAGCAGUGGGGAAUUUUGGACAAUGGGCGAAAGCCUGAUCCAGCAAUGCCGCGUGUGUGAAGAAGGCCUUCGGGUUGUAAAGCACUUUUGUCCGGAAAGAAAUCCUUGGCUCAAAUACAGUCGGGGUAUGACGGUACCGGAAGAAUAAGCACCGGCUAACUACGUG
rnacentral:rRNA from 1 species